AAAAUGCUUAUUUAUUUUGAAAGAAGCUGAGGAAUUCCCUCUUUGAGGAAAAGCCUCUAAUCAAUAAAAUGAAGACAUACUUUUUCACUCAAUGCCAACAAUGACUUCAUUAUUUUAAGAAAUGAAAAAGCUUGAAAAGAAGUUUUUUAAGACUACAUCUGCAGAACUAUUCCAGUGAAGGAGUUAGGGAAUCCUCUUCUUUUGUUGAUUUUCACCUUACACUGCUUGCCUCCUCAGUUAGACCUUGAGCUGGAAGGGUACUGAGGAACAGAUAGCAUACAACAAUAGAUAUAUCACAGAAUUAGACAGACAGUGAAGACCAGCAAAGACCUGGUCUUACAUGGGAGGGCAGUGCUCCCAAACCACUUGUCUAAUCACUAGUCCUGGCCACAGGGCUAAAAUCUAAAGCAUGUUGAACUUUCUUUUUGGUCAGUCUCCAUUGUGCUAAAGACAGAUUGACUGCAGCUGAUGGCCACGCUCACCCACUGGGUCUGCACCCCACUGACACACAAACGGAACUUUGUGGUUGGGGUCUACUACAGGCCACCUAAACAAGCAGAAUCUGUUGAAGCCUUGGAACAGGUUGCCUAGACAGGCGAUGGAUGCCCUGCCCCCUGGAUCACUCAAGGUGAGGCUGGACCAGGCUCAGGGCAACCUGAUCUAGCUGCAUAUGUCCUUGUUCAUGGCAGGGGAAUUGGACUAGAUGAUCUUUAAGGGCUCCUUCCAACUCAAACAAUUCUAUGAUUCCAUGAUCCUGAACCACACUGGUAUUUAUUUCCUUGUCUCGCCUUUAUGUACUGACUGCAUACAUAUUCACCAUGGCUGGAUUUUUCAAUGAAAUUAGGGUUGCUAUAGAUAUUUACCAUUUUCUCUGCUCAGUGUUCUCAAAUAGCUCCUGAGUUAACAGCAUAAACAUCUUUAUAGUUAACCAAAUGAUAGGAACUUUUAAAUACAAUUUAAGGCAUUCUGAAGUGCAACGUUUCAAAUGAUUUGAAGUCAAAGUAUGCCUGCACUGAAAAUAAAGGAAGUUCAUAGAACUCUCAGAUAUAGGUUUCUUCAAGUUACUAAAUGAAUCUAAAGCCAGUCAUAGUUAAUCCCAUGUCUAUUGUUCCUGUUAUGCUCUAAAUCUUACUUUAAAUCUCCACUAGCAUCUUUCCAGUUUAACAGGUAUAAAUAAGGCUUGUUGUAGCAUUACAUAAAUUCACAAUCCAACCCUGCACAUGAUAAUUGAGUAUCCUCCCUUAUGAGACACACAUAAUUGAUCAGAGGUAUAUCAAUGUCACAAAAUUUGCCAUAACAUAAAUUACCACUAAAAAAAAUCUGUAAUUUAACUUACAGGAGGGAAACAAAUUCAGUAUUGUGUGGUUUGUUUCAUUUAAGAAGCUCAACUUCAGAUGAGCAUUCUCAGAUGAAAAUUCAAAAGAAAAUCUUAUUUUUAAACAAAAUGUCCCACUCUCGCAAUUCUUUCUUUAUUCUAUUUUAUAGGUGAAAUCUCUUCUUUAGUAAGGAUAAGUGAAGCCUGUGAAUCUCCUGUGUAAAAAUUUCAUGGUCACAGAUUCACCGCCCAAGCAAAGGCAAAACUAAGGCAAAAUGGCUGGGGAGUACACCCACACACUGCCAGGCAGCGAGAGAGAGAGUGAGUCCCAUGACUUGUGUGUCUUCUCUUCCCCUCUGAACACAAACACAAAGUCCUCUGGAGUAUGUAGUUAGCCUUCUCUUCUGAGAACCAGCCAACUUCAUGUUCAGAGAGGAAGAUAAGCCAUGGGAGGAAGUCACAGGAUCUCACUCUCUAGCUCUGUCUUGCUUGCUGCUUGGCAGUGUAUAGGUGUGCUCCCCAGCUGUGCACCUUCAGUUCAAAGUAGGCCUUUUGGUUUCGGACACUGUCUCUCUUAUUUUAUUUGAUUUAUUAGCCUCAAUAUCAAUUAUAUUGUAUUAUAUUAUGUUAUCUUGCAUUUCAAUAUCAUAUUUAGUAAAAUUAAGUUUUCCUCCUUAGAUCACUGCCGCUGUUCUGUUUUCGGGCCCAGCUCCCAUCUCCCUACCCUUCUCCUUUUCCCUUCCCAUUUUUGGGCCAGGGGGCCUACGGGCCUGCUGUCCCCGGGCACAGAUUGAUCUAGAUAACUCCAUGACACAAACUUGUGUUAAUCAUACUUAUAUCAUCCUUAUAAGAAAGUCCAUUUUUAAAAUGUCUUGUCAUAAAGAUUCCCAGUGUCUGACAGUUGGGAAGCCAGACUCCAGAAGUAAAAAUUGCAUAGGAAUAUGAAAUUUUCAGUUGGUUUUGCAGCUUGGGGAAUUCAAAAACAUGGCAAUACAGAAAAUUCUGCAUAUGAAAAAAGGACAAAAGCUAAAGUAUGAGUAAAAUCUAAUUUUAAAUAACCUGCCUCCCAUGAAUGGACAGAAUGAAAUUUGCACUUAUUCACUGAGGUUUAAAUAACCUGUUAAUAAACUUAACAGUACACCAAUGCUUAAGUGAUUUGAUGAAUGGGCACAGGAGCUCAUUUAUUUCUACAGGCCACAUGCACAGUAAGCUCCUGUUCAGGAAUUACAGAGAACCCAGCUUAGUGGGAUUUCAGAAGUCAAAAAUAAGCCUACUAUAUUCUACAUCUCUUUCUAAUAAUUACUCAAAUGAUUGAGUGAAUUUAUUUAACAACUUCUGAUGACUGGGUAUCUGGUUUCCCAAAUUAUAAAAUUAUAACUCAAGAGUUCAUAUUUAUUUUUAAAUACAAAUGUAUAAUGGAUUACAUAAAAAAAACCUUAAUAUUAAUAGACAAGGAUCAAAACAGUUACUCCCAGCUUAACAGUCACUAACAAAGUAAUUUGAGAAUUAUAUUAAGAGUAUAGCUUUGCAGGAUCUAAUUUAUUAAGACAAAGACUUAUUUAAGCAGAGACAUUAGGACAUACUACUGAUUCAUUUUAGAUCAAAUAUUCUUCCUGUAAGAAAUGUUUCCACAUAGUUACUUCAAAUAAAUGAGAUUUUAAUAGUUGAUGAACCUACUUCCUUUAAUCUGCUUUUGAAAGAAUUAAUAUUCAUGGAAAAAUAGCUUGAGAUUUUUCAGACUAAAAAAUAACUUGACAAUGAAACAUGUUAUUAAACAUAUAUAUAUUAUAUAAAAUACAUAAAAAAACAUUUUACCUGACUAAACAUGUCUCUACAGAAUUUAGACAACUCUUUUAAUUUUAGGUCUACCUUUAUGUUAGAUCUCAAAUUGAUAAUUAAUUUCUCAGGUUGUUAUAUGAACAACAAUUAUUAUCAGAUCAAAUUCUCAACUUAAGAAGCUUUUGUAUCCAAUUUUCUCUGGAUUAAACCAGAUCUAAUGUGAAUAACAAGUCCACACUUAAAGGAAGGACUACUGAAUUUAAUAGCAUUAUCAUAGUCUGCUACAUGUAAGCUUGUUGUCCUGUCUACUUGAACAAGGGAAAUCUCGAAUAAAUCUUGUAAUGCACGAACUAGAUACACGAACUAGAUACACGAACUAAACUCUCUUAGAGUCUACUUACCUGGGCUAACAGUUCCUCUUAGUGAACAAAUUAAAAGGAGUUAGUUGGAAAAAUUAGUUAAUGGCAUAAAAAAAAAAAAAAAAAAAAAAA
ensembl:lncRNA